ensembl:lncRNA novel transcript
AAAUCUCUUCAUCUUACCCUGGUGGACUCCUGACUGUAGAAUUUUUUGGUUUAAAGAAGAAAAAAAUAAAGCUUUGGACUUUUCAAGGUUGCUUAACAGGUAUAUUCCAGUGGUUUAUCAUCGGGAGAGGGAUGAUAAUGGAGGAAGGCUCAAUGAGGGAGAAAGUAUUCAGCUGCUUGAUGUUAGAGCUUAAUGGCAGGACCUACCAGUUGCUUUUCACAGAAAUGCUGUGUAUUGAUCCUAAGGCAGCAUGUGUUCUCUUUUGUGUGGCCAUUAUCCAUUCUCCCACUUUUCCAUCAGUGACUGCUUUGCUUUUGUUCCUCAAUCCUUUACCCAAAAAUGGCUGAAUUAUUUCUGUGCAGUUAAAUAAAGUGAUCCAAACUCAA